GGGCCCGCACAAGCGGUGGAGUAUGUGGUUUAAUUCGAUGCAACGCGAAGAACCUUACCAAGGUUUGACAUGUCACUCUUUAUGAGGUAUUAAUGAAAAUUAAUUUUGGUUCACAGGUGGUGCAUGGCUGUCGUCAGCUCGUGUCGCGAGAUGUUGGGUUAAGUCCCGCAACGAGCGUAACCUUUAUUUCUUGUUGUGAUUUCAGAUCAAGAAAAACUGCCAGUGAUGAGCUGGAGGAUGGUGAAGAUGACGUCAAGUCAGCAUGCCCCUUAUACCUUGGGCAACACACGUGCUACAAUAGCUAAGAUAAAACGUAACUACUUUGUAAAAAGAUGUUAAUCGUUAAACUUAGUUGUAGUUCGGAUCCGUCUCUGCAACUCGAGAUGGUUAAGUCGGAAUUGCUAGUAAUCG
rnacentral:rRNA from 1 species